UCUGCCUCCCAGGCUCAAGCCAUCCUCCCACCUCAGCCUCUCAAGUAGCUGGGACUACAGGCACUCACCACAGUACCUUGCUAAUUUUUUUAAGUUUUUGUAGAGCCAGCGUCUCACUGUGUUGCCCAGGGCUGGUCUCAAACUCCUGGGCUCAAGCGAUCCGCCCACUUGGGCCUCUCAGAGUGCUGGGAAUACAGGUGUGAGCCACAGUGCCCUGUCAAAGUAUUCUUUAAUUAGGGUAUGUACAUUGUUUUUUAGACACAGUGCUAUUGCACACUUAAUAGACUACAGUAUAAACAUAACUUUUAUAUGCACUGUGAAAGCAAUAAAAUUAUGUGACUUGCUUUAUUGUCUGGAACAGAGCUCUCAGUAUCUCCGAGGCAUACCUGUACCUAUUACACUAGAUUGGGUUAUGGCCUCAAGAACAGGGAACCAGACAAAGCAGUGAAUAAGAGAAAAAAGACUACUUCCUCCUCCUUUUCGGUGCCUAUGAUGUGUCAAAGCUAGAGUGUCUAUGAUCCUUUCUGCAUCUAGCCUUCAUUCUUUGUUUUUCUUCCCAGGUGCCCUGUGCCCCAUGUUCUAUAAUCUCACUGCUCUAACUUGUCCCAUCUCAUCCCUUCCCCAAGGCCUGCCAGGGUGCUUCACGCUCCACAAUGACCUAACUCCAGUUCCAUACAUCUUGGCUUGGUAUCCAGAAGAAACCAGUCCAGUUGAACAAAUUCUAAAUGCCCGAGAGUCUUUUAACUUCACAGAGGUGCUGAAUUUUUAAAACCAAUUGCUUUCUCCCUCCCAUCAACUUCUAUUUAAUAAAAUUGCUGAGAGAGUUUUUAAAAAAAAAAUCAAACUGUGAGGGGAAAUAGAGGGAACUGACUCAGACACCCGAACUGUUCCUGCCAAUCACAGCCUCUUCCUUUCUUCCUUCUCCUCCAUGUGCUCCCAAAGUACCUUCCAAGCCGGGACCUUGAGUUUAUGUGCAUAUGGGCUAUUAAUAAAUCGAUUGUAAACUCAAAACUGCCAGGGAAACCAUAAAUGUAGGCAAAUUUACUCAUAAUAGCCUUUAUUCAGGGUCCCUUCCAGGGUCCUUGGGUAACUUGCAUUAAAAAUAUUUCCACUAAUGGUUGAGUUGAAAGUCAACAUGCCUUACCGG
rnacentral:lncRNA from 10 species